rnacentral:rRNA from 1 species
AUUGAACGCUGGCGGCAGGCCUAACACAUGCAAGUCGAACGGAUCCUUCGGGAUUAGUGGCGGACGGGUGAGUAACACGUGGAAACGUGCCCUUUGGUUCGGAACAACUCAGGGAAACUUGAGCUAAUACCGGAUGUGCCCUUCGGGGGAAAGAUUUAUCGCCAUUGGAGCGGCCCGCGUCUGAUUAGCUAGUUGGUGAGGUAAAGGCUCACCAAGGCGACGAUCAGUAGCUGGUCUGAGAGGAUGAUCAGCCACAUUGGGACUGAGACACGGCCCAAACUCCUACGGGAGGCAGCAGUGGGGAAUCUUGCGCAAUGGGCGAAAGCCUGACGCAGCCAUGCCGCGUGAAUGAUGAAGGUCUUAGGAUUGUAAAACUCUUUCACCGGGGACGAUAAUGACGGUACCCGGAGAAGAAGCCCCGGCUAACUUCGUGCCAGCCGCCGCUGUAAAAC